GGAUCCAGACUUUGAUUAUGGCUCAGGAUGAACGCUAGCUACAGGCUUAACACAUGCAAGUCGAGGGGCAGCGGGAUUGAAGCUUGCUUCAAUUGCCGGCGACCGGCGCACGGGUGAGUAACGCGUAUCCAACCUUCCGUACACUCAGGGAUAGCCUUUCGAAAGAAAGAUUAAUACCUGAUGGUAUGAUGAGAUUGCAUGAUAGCAUCAUUAAAGAUUUAUCGGUGUACGAUGGGGAUGCGUUCCAUUAGGUAGUAGGCGGGGUAACGGCCCACCUAGCCAACGAUGGAUAGGGGUUCUGAGAGGAAGGUCCCCCACAUUGGAACUGAGACACGGUCCAAACUCCUACGGGAGGCAGCAGUGAGGAAUAUUGGUCAAUGGACGAGAGUCUGAACCAGCCAAGUAGCGUGAAGGAUGAAGGUCCUACGGAUUGUAAACUUCUUUUAUAGGGGAAUAAACCCUCCCACGUGUGGGAGCUUGUAUGUACCUUAUGAAUAAGCAUCGGCUAACUCCGUGCCAGCAGCCGCGGUAAUACGGAGGAUGCGAGCGUUAUCCGGAUUUAUUGGGUUUAAAGGGAGCGCAGACGGGUCGUUAAGUCAGCUGUGAAAGUUUGGGGCUCAACCUUAAAAUUGCAGUUGAUACUGGCGUCCUUGAGUGCGGUUGAGGUGUGCGGAAUUCGUGGUGUAGCGGUGAAAUGCUUAGAUAUCACGAAGAACUCCGAUUGCGAAGGCAGCACACUAAUCCGUAACUGACGUUCAUGCUCGAAAGUGUGGGUAUCAAACAGGAUUAGAUACCCUGGUAGUCCACACGGUAAACGAUGGAUACUCGCUGUUGGCGAUAUACUGUCAGCG
rnacentral:rRNA from 1 species